GACGAACGCUGGCGGCGUGCUUAACACAUGCAAGUCGAACGGAAAGGCCCUGCUUUUGCGGGGUGCUCGAGUGGCGAACGGGUGAGUAACACGUGAGUAUCCUUCCCUUGACUGUGUGAUAACUUCAGGAAACUGGGGCUAAUACCGGAUAGGAGCUCCUGCUGCAUGGGGGGGGUUGGAAAGUUUAGGCGGUUGGGGAUGGACUCGGGGCUUAUCAGCUGGUUCGUGGGGUAGUGGCUUCCCAAGGCUUUGGCGGGUAGCCGGCCUGGGAGGGGGACCGGGGACCAGGCUCCUGAGGUACGCACCAGUGUGGAACAGUAGGCAGCGGUGGGGAGUAUUGUCCAAUCAGGGCGAGCGUGAUGAGAAGAUGCCCCGUUCGGGAUGCCGGCCAUCGGGGUGGAAAGCGCAUUAAGCUAUGACGAAGCGUGAUUGACGGUACUGAGUGAAGAAGCACCGGCUAACUACGUG
rnacentral:rRNA from 1 species